rnacentral:rRNA from 1 species
GAAUGAGAAGAUUCUGUAUCCUACCAUUUGGUCGACCAUUACAUUAUAUUAUGUGAUAAUUUUUAAUAUUUUAAUCGAUAUUAAUAUUACACUAAUUUGUUUUGAGAUUUGGCUAUGGAGAUAUGCACUUCUUCUCUAGUAGGACGUUGCAACCCAUUGGAUGUUAAUCUAAGGUCCCCUAUGGUAGCCUAUUUUAUUUAAUAUUUGUUAAAGAAUAUUAUGUGAUUUAGACCUUGGGUGUUUUGCCUGAUUAACUUGUUCGAUGGUAUGUCUUUAUAAUAUGGGGUCGCCUAUAUGGCAUUUAACUUUUUUUCAAGUGUGUAUGGAUUAAAUUUUGGCUAUCAGACCUAGUCUGGUACUGAAACCAUUACCACUGUUUGAAAAUUAUGUUGUAAUUAAAUUGACCACCUUAUAUAUAUAGGUGAGAACCGCUUUUGUUUUGGGUAUUUUCUGGACCCCCCUUGAAACAGGGCCAAAGGAGA